CGCUAAUCGUAUGAUUUUCUGAUUGGCUCAGCCAAUCUCGACAUUUUCAGAAAUUUUCAUUCCUGUAUCGACGAAAAGAACGACCUGGAACGACCAUUUUUAUUAUAAUUACGCUUCUUCGUGCAACCUUAUGCAAUAAUAGAAAAUUAAUAUAAUGAAUGUUCAUCCGGAAUAAAAGUAGCAUUAUAAAAAUCACAUUCCUUGUAACAGUUCAUGCUAAGUAAGGAAUUAAUAAUGGAUAAUGAUCACAUAAACUAUGAUGUACAAAUAAUUGCCGACAAGAAACCCCCAUGAAUGAAGUAUCAUCCAAUGAAAUUGAAGAUGGAUCAUUGUGCAAGAGAGUGAGUAAAUUCAUUUUCAUUGUCUACAAGUCAUUGGAGUAGCAUAAAUACGUAUUUUUCUUUAGAAAUUUACAGUCGUAGUAGAAACAAUCAAAGUAUUUAAAAAUGUUGAUAAUUUUUGAAUGCCUUAAAAUAACAUUAAUUACACAUCAUUGAUUCGAAUAACGCGCUGAGAAUAUGAACAAUGACGCCAGACAAUCAAAUUGCGUUUCACGUCAUGUGACUUUAAAUUUUAGAUAUUUUCCCAUACAAUUUCUGUAGACUUUGAAUAGCAAGCGCUACUUGAUACAGGCAAGUCGGGUCAUUUUCUAAAUGAAACUCUUUGAAUGUUUCAUUCAAUUCCAUUGAUAUCAGGUUAUUAUCAAAAGGAAACAGAUCACAGACGAAUUCUCCAAUUAAAGUAAAAUUACCAAAAACUCCUCGAUUUUCUAAUUUUUUUUUACACAAUAAACGUUUCCGAGAAACAAAAAAUAAAUGGAACUCUUUGGCAGAUCGAUUUCGCUCUCUGUACAAAAAUAAGUACGUGAUAUUAUUGUGGUUUAGUUGAUCAGUAGAUGCAAUAAAUUAGGCAUUAAUUUACCCAUGAACAUUCUCGGCAAUUAAAUCUAAGUGUGGCCGAACUAUAAAGAUUAUGUUUGUAACAUUAGUAAGAGGAAGUUGGCCACCAACUAACUCGUACAUUUUAACGACACCAUAUUCUUCUAAUAAAUUAUAUUUGGCGAUAAGACCAACCGGGCCAGCGAGUGAUUGGUCCCAAACGAUAGCCUGUUGUAAAAUAAAAAUAUUAUAGAUAUAAUUUACAUACAUAUCGGAAAUUAUGUACCAAGUUAACGAUACCCUGAGUUAUUUUUAGUAGAAUUCAUAUAUAUGGUGGAAUUUUUAGAUUUUUUUGAAAUUCUAAUAAAAUCUUAGUAUUUACUUUUGGGCCAUCGCAUUUUUCGAUAAGACAUAACAACUGUUUUCUCGCUUGUUCCUGGAACAAACCGAUAUUGAGUCGUCCUCCGGAUAAAUGCGCUGAUGACAUUUUGUCGAAUUAAUUAAAUAAUUAUAGAUAAUGAUGAUAGCAGUAGAUAAUAUUAUUUGUAGUUGGAGUAUAAUAAAAUAGUGUCAUAAUUCGGGAGGUUUUUAUUCAAAAUUUUCAGUUUAUGUAUAUGUCAAAUAUAUACUUAUAUUUUUUUUUAAUAUCAAAUUUUUUUGUUUUUCCUGAGGCUUGUAGUUUUCAAACUACGGUACUGAUUAUGAAGACAACAUAUUGACGGCAAAAUGGAUUGUUUCCUUUUUUGUAUGUAGACCCUCCCUAAUAUCACCCCUGAUAGCCACCUUAUCCACAAGUUAACUUCAAGCUACUGCCGUAUUCUAGAGCCAACUUAAAGAAAAGUGUUGGAGAGCAAGCAGUUUCCUUUAAGUUGACAGAAAAUUGUCUGUAACAUGAAUUCAAUUUGACUACAAGUGCGACUAUCAGACAAUGACAGUUCAAAUUACAUUUAGAUGACGGCAGUAGAUUUGCAUCAACUUGCACGCAAGUAUUAUCCAGCCGAGGCUUACCACCCUGAUAGCCACACUCUUAAUAUAAUUGCUCAUCAAGUUCUGCAGUGAAACACUUUCGGCUGACUUAACGACAAGUUUCUGUCAAGCCUCGGCUGAAUAAUACUUGCGUGCCAGUUGGUGCGAAUCAACUGCUGUCAUCUGAAUGUAAUUUGACAGAAAAACUUGCCGUCAAUUUGAAGUGAAUCUUUCAAUCAACUUAACGUCAUUGUCUGACAGUAACACUUGUAGACAAAUUGAAUUCAAGUUUAAGACAAUCUACUGUCAACUUAAAGAUAACUGCUUGCUCUUUAACACUUAACUUUUAAUUGGCUUCAGAAUACUGCAGUAGCUUAAGUUAACUUGUGGAUAAGGUUGUUAUCAGGGCAGAAACUUGUCGUUAAGUUGGCCAAAAAUGUUCCACUGCAAAACUUGCUGAGCAAUUAAUUAUAUUUAAAGUGUGGCUAUCAGGGAAUUUACCUUUAAAUAGAGCAUAAAUUAACCGCCAAUUUUUUUUUACGACUUUUGCUUUCGGCAAAUUCAGGCAGCAAAUCUGAAGUAAUUUCAAUGUGAAAUCACUGUCGAUUCCAAGUCAAAGUUGCUAUUAUAGGGUAUAGAUUGGUCAAAAGCAAAAAUGUACCCACAUGAAAAUAUACCUUAAAAUAAAUAUGUAAAACAUGUGCAACAUUACAAAUGUCUCCUGAUCAAAAACCACACUUCUAUUAAGUCAUCGGAUAAAUGAUUUACAAGAUGCUUCCUAUCAAAUUUGCACAAGUUUUUAAAAAUGUGUCUGUGAGUGAUGACAUUAGUUAUGGUCGCAACAUGAAGUAUUCGAAUAUCCUUAGAGAAUUUCAUACUACAACCUAUCUAUGGAAAAAUGGUGGCAGUUCUAAAGUCAUGUGUAAAGUGGUUCAAGAAGAUCCAGUCGCCUCACAGUUUAGAUCAAGCAAAUUAGAAACCGCUGUUAACAUAAUUGUUCCUGAUGAUGGUGAAAGAUUCCUUGCUUGUACUGGGGAAAUGGAAUUUAAUAAGCCCAUGGAAGUGUUCGACUAUAGCUAUUAUUUUCCUUUCAUAAUUACCUCUCCAAGAUUUAAUGUUGCAGUUGAAUUCGAAGUAAACCCAAGCACUACUGCAGUGGAAAUUUAAAAAAAAACCUAUUAUAAAAAUAAAACUUUUGAUCUACUGAUUCUUUUAGUGAUUCUUUAUCAUGUAAUAUUAAAGACUUUACAAAAUUUCUGUUAAAGAAACUUUUGCAUUAUAAUUAUAUUAUUAAAGCAUUAUUGUUAAAUAAACAUUUUUUUCAUUCUUUGUCAAUGGUCAUUGUUUUUUUU